GGAGUCUUACCCAAGUGGUAAGGGGCAGGUCUGCAAAACCUCUAUGCAGCGGUUCGAUUCCGCUAGACUCCU
rnacentral:tRNA from 1 species